rnacentral:rRNA from 1 species
CGCGUAGGCGGUUUGAUCAGUCGGAUGUGAAAGCCCCGGGCUCAACCUGGGAACUGCAUUCGAUACUGUCAAACUAGAGUGUGGUAGAGGGAAGUGGAAUUCCAGGUGUAGCGGUGAGAUGCGUAGAUAUCUGGAGGAACAUCAGUGGCGAAGGCGACUUCCUGGACCAACACUGACGCUGAGGUGCGAAAGCGUGGGGAGCAAACA